rnacentral:misc_RNA from 1 species
UCAAACUUGGUCAUUUAGAGGAAGUAAAAGUCGUAACAAGGUCUCCGUUGGUGAACCAGCGGAGGGAUCAUUAUCGAGUUUAUACAACUCCCAACCCUAUGUGAACCUACCUACAUGUUGCUUCGGCGGUGCCGCGCCAGGUCUGCUCCCCUUGGGAGCUCCUGGGACAACGCGCCCGCCGGAGACCACAAACUCUUGAUUUUGCGAAAGCAGUAUUCUUCUGAGUGGCCGAAAGGCAAAAAAACAAAUGAAUCAAAACUUUCAACAACGGAUCUCUUGGUUCUGGCAUCGAUGAAGAACGCAGC